rnacentral:rRNA from 1 species
UACGAAGGGGGCUAGCGUUGCUCGGAAUCACUGGGCGUAAAGCGCACGUAGGCGGCUUCUUAAGUCAGGGGUGAAAUCCUGGAGCUCAACUCCAGAACUGCCUUUGAUACUGAGAAGCUUGAGUUCGGGAGAGGUGAGUGGAACUGCGAGUGUAGAGGUGAAAUUCGUAGAUAUUCGCAAGGACACCAGUGGCGAAGGCGGCUCACUGGCCCGAUACUGACGCUGAGGUGCGAAAGCGUGGGGAGCAAACAGG